rnacentral:rRNA from 1 species
CCUACGGGUGGCAGCAGUGGGGAAUAUUGCACAAUGGGCGCAAGCCUGAUGCAGCCAUGCCGCGUGUGUGAAGAAGGCCUUCGGGUUGUAAAGCACUUUCAGCGGGGAGGAAGGCGGUGAGGUUAAUAACCUCAUCGAUUGACGUUACCCGCAGAAGAAGCACCGGCUAACUCCGUGCCAGCAGCCGCGGUAAUACGGAGGGUGCAAGCGUUAAUCGGAAUUACUGGGCGUAAAGCGCACGCAGGCGGUCUGUCAAGUCGGAUGUGAAAUCCCCGGGCUCAACCUGGGAACUGCAUUCGAAACUGGCAGGCUAGAGUCUUGUAGAGGGGGGUAGAAUGCCAGGUGUAGCGGUGAAAUGCGUAGAGAUCUGGAGGAAGACCGGUGGCGAAGGCGGCCCCCUGGACAAAGACUGACGCUCAGGUGCGAAAGCGUGGGGAGCAAACAGGAUUAGAUACCCGAGUAGUC